rnacentral:rRNA from 1 species
UACGUAGGGUGCAAGCGUUUAAUCGGAAUUACUGGGCGUAAAGCGUGCGCAGGCGGUUUUGUAAGUCUGUCGUGAAAUCCCCGGGCUCAACCUGGGAAUGGCAAUGGAUACUGGAUAGCUAGAGUGUGAUAGAGGAUGGUGGAAUUCCCGGUGUAGCGGUGAAAUGCGUAGAGAUCGGGAGGAACAUCAGUGGCGAAGGCGGCCAUCUGGAUCAACACUGACGCUGAGGCACGAAAGCUAGGGGAGCAAACGGG